UCCACGCCCUAAACGAUGAGAACUAGAUGUUGGAGGAAAUUGAUCCUUUAGUGUCGCAGCUAACGCAAUAAGUUCUCCGCCUGGGGAGUACGACCGCAAGGUUAAAACUCAAAUGAAUUGACGGGGGCCCGCACAAGCGGUGGAGCAUGUGGUUUAAUUCGAUGCAACGCGAAGAACCUUACCUGGCCUUGACAUCCUUGGAACUUUGCUGAAAAGCGAAGGCGCC
rnacentral:rRNA from 1 species